UCUACAGUCCGAGAAUC
rnacentral:miRNA from 1 species